rnacentral:rRNA from 1 species
UGGGGAAUAUUGCGCAAUGGGGGGAACCCUGACGCAGCCAUGCCGCGUGAAUGAAGAAGGCCUUAGGGUUGUAAAGUUCUUUCGGUAUUGAGGAAGGUUGAUGUGUUAAUAGCACAUCAAAUUGACGUUAAAUACAGAAGAAGCACCGACUAACUCCGUGCCAGCAGCCGCGGUAAUACGGAGGGUGCGAGCGUUAAUCGGAAUAACUGGGCGUAAAGGGCACGCAGGCGGUUAUUUAAGUGAGGUGUGAAAGCCCUGGGCUUAACCUGGGAAUUGCAUUUCAGACUGGGUAACUAGAGUACUUUAGGGAGGGGUAGAAUUCCACGUGUAGCGGUGAAAUGCGUAGAGAUGUGGAGGAAUACCGAAGGCGAAGGCAGCCCCUUGGGAAUGUACUGACGCUCAUGUGCGAAAGCGUGGGGAGCAAACAGGAUUAGAUACCCUGGUAGUCCACGCUGUAAACGCUGUCGAUUUGGGGGUUGGGGUUUAACUCUGGCGCCCGUAGCUAACGUGAUAAAUCGACCGCCUGGGGAGUACGGCCGCAAGGUUA